UACGUAGGGUGCGAGCGUUGUCCGGAAUUAUUGGGCGUAAAGAGCUCGUAGGCGGUCUGUCGCGUCGGUCGUGAAAACUUGGGGCUUAACCCUGAGCUUGCGGUCGAUACGGGCAUGACUGGAGUUCGGUAGGGGAGACUGCAAUUCCUGGUGUAGCGGUGAAAUGCGCAGAUAUCAGGAGGAACACCGGUGGCGAAGGCGGGUCUCUGGGCCGAUACUGACGCUGAGGAGCGAAAGCGUGGGGAGCGAACAGG
rnacentral:rRNA from 1 species